rnacentral:lncRNA from 1 species
AGCGUAACUGAGGUGGAGUGAGACUUCCUUCCUCCGUGCCCGUCUUUCAGUGGCAGAUGGACAAUAGCAUGUUAAUGUCCUAUAUAUUACAGGUGGAAUACUGUAAGAUGACGCCUUGGGAGCAGAUGGAGAAUGUCUUUGUCUGCAACACUGAAGCCACAGAGCAGUAAGCCAACACUAACACUGGGGACAACCAUCCACAUCUGUGUCACUCCCACAGAUGCUGAGAAGACAACUCCCAAUAUGGGGCA